UAAUACGUAGGUGGCAAGCGUUGUCCGGAUUUACUGGGCGUAAAGAGCGCGCAGGCGGUUGGAUAAGUCGAAUGUGAAAGCCCCCGGCUCAACUGGGGAGGGUCAUUCGAUACUGUCCGACUUGAAGGCAGGAGAGAGAAGCAGAAUUCCCGGUGUAGUGGUGAAAUGCGUAGAUAUCGGGAGGAAUACCAGUGGCGAAGGCGGCUUCUUGGCCUGUUCUUGACGCUGAGGCGCGAAAGCUGGGGGAGCAAACGGGAUUAGAUACCCCGGUAGUCCCAGCCGUAAACGAUGGACACUAGGU
rnacentral:rRNA from 1 species